GACGAACGCUGGCGGCGUGCCUAAUACAUGCAAGUAGAACGCACAGUUUAUACCGUAGCUUGCUACACCAUAAACUGUGAGUUGCGAACGGGUGAGUAACGCGUAGGUAACCUGCCUGGUAGCGGGGGAUAACUAUUGGAAACGAUAGCUAAUACCGCAUAAUAUUGAUUAUUGCAUGAUAAUUGAUUGAAAGAUGCUAUUGCAUCACUACCAGAUGGACCUGCGUUGUAUUAGCUAGUAGGUGAGGUAACGGCUCACCUAGGCGACGAUACAUAGCCGACCUGGGAGGGUGAUCGGCCACACUGGGACUGAGACACGGCCCAGACUCCUACGGGAGGCAGCAGUAGGGAGUCUUCGGCAAUGGACGAAAGUCUGACCGAGCAACGCCGCGUGAGUGAAGAAGGUUUUCGGAUCGUAAAGCUCUGUUGUAAGAGAAGAACGGGUGUGAGAGUGGAAAGUUCACACUGUGACGGUAUCUUACCAGAAAGGGACGGCUAACUACGUG
rnacentral:rRNA from 1 species